rnacentral:lncRNA from 1 species
GCCGUGGGGUCGGCGACGGCGACGGAGACGACGGUGGGGGUGGACUCGGCGGCAGCGGCGGGGGAGAGGAGGAGGGGUCGUGGGCGGUGGAGAGGAGGGUGAGGAGGGAGGCAACGGUGAAGAAGGAGGGUGAGGAGGGAGGCGACGGUCCGAUCCGCCUCUUUUUUUUCGGCGAGAAAAAAAAAAGAACGACAGAAACGAAGAGGAGAGAGAAAGAGGAAAGAGAAAAAGUAAUAAGGGUAUUUUGGUCAGUUUGCUGAAAAAGCGGACCGAAUCUGCAAAAACGAAAAAGGUGGCUCGGUUUUGCAAAAGUCCAAAAUAAGUGGAUUUUUUAUGCAAAUUGGCCUUAUUUAUUUUUUAAAAUUUAAAUUUGAUCUUAAAUUUUAAAUUUUAAAAUUUGAAAUUAAAAAUUUAAGAGUUUAAUUUCAAUUUUUGAAUUUUAAAGAAAGUAUUUUUAGGAUCACCUUGCUUGUUCCACCAGUAAAAUUUAAAUUUUCUAAAUUCAAAAAUUAAAAUUUAUAAUUUUAAAAUUACAAAAUUAAAAAUUAAAAAUUUAAAUUGUUUAAUUUAAAAUUUUAAAAUUUGAUAUUUUAUUUUUUUGAUAUUUAGAAUAUGAUAUUUUGUAUUUUUAAAUUAAAAUUUCAUCUUAAAUUAAAGUUCAAAAUUUAAAAAAUUAAUUUUUUAAAAUUAUAAAUUUGAGAUUUUAAAAUUUUAAAUUUAAAUUUUAAUUUUUAAACUUUAAAAGUAUAUAUUUUAAAUUUUAAAAUAUAAAUAUAAAAUAUAAAAAUUUAAAUUCUAAUAUAAAGAAAAAAAUAAUAUCAUUAUUUUUUAUUUAUAAAUACUCACUUUAAUUCUUAUCCCAUCUUACCUAACCAAACGCUAUUUUUCUUAUUCUCAGGAAUACUUAAUUUUCAUCUAAACGCAAAAUUCAUCUAAUCCCCGUUUAUACCUCAAUUUAUACCUAUCCCCGGAAUAUCCACUUUUUGCUUAUCCCCGAACCAAACGAUACCUAAGUGAUUAGUUUUAAUCGCAUAACUACUCCGUUCUAACUCAUUUUCUCCUGAAACUUGACGAGUAAUUUAUGUAAUUAAAUUACACACAUAAACAUCAUCAACAGAGAGUUUAGUUGCACUGUAAAAAUCUCAGUCC